AGCGAACGUUAGCGGCGGGCCUAACACAUGCAAGUCGAGCGAGAAAAGGGGCAACCCUUUAGUAAAGCGGCGGACGGGUGAGUAACACGUAGGUAAUCUUCCCUUGAGCGGGGGACAACGAGCCGAAAGGCUCGCUAAUACCGCAUACGUUCCCGAGGUCCCCGGACCUUGGGAGGAAAGCCAGGCAGCAAUGUCCGGCACUCGAGGAGGAGCCUGCGUCGCAUCAGCUAGUUGGUGGGGUAACGGCCUACCAAGGCGAAGACGCGUAGCUGGUCUGAGAGGAUGAUCAGCCACACUGGGACUGAGACACGGCCCAGACUCCUACGGGAGCAGCAGUGGGGAAUAUUGGACAAUGGCGCAAGCCUGAUCCAGCCACGCCGCGUGAGUGAUGAAGGCCUUCGGGUCGUAAAGCUCUGUGGGGAGGGACGAACCGCUGCACGUUCAUAGCGUGCAGCAUGACGGUACCUCCUUAGCAAGCACCGGCUAACUUCGUGCCAGCAGCCGCGGUAA
rnacentral:rRNA from 1 species